UACGGAGGGUGCAAGCGUUAUCCGGAUUCACUGGGUUUAAAGGGCGCGUAGGCGGUCUUGUCAGUCCCUUGUGAAAUCCCCCGGCUCAACUGGGGAACUGCACGGGAAACAGCAGGGCUUGAGUUCGGGAGAGGGAAGCGGAAUUCCGGGUGUAGCGGUGAAAUGCGUAGAUAUCCGGAGGAACACCGGUGGCGAAGGCGGCUUCCUGGACCGAUACUGACGCUGAGGCGCGAAAGCUAGGGGAGCGAACGGG
rnacentral:rRNA from 1 species